GCCCACCCGGGGUCUCCCUAGCACAGCAGACAGCCCAGGGGCAGGUCCAUGGCGCCCCGUCCACUGGUGCCCCGUGCACACUGCAGGGAGGAGAGACCGUGCCGUGGUGCGACACCCGGUGAUCAGCCACGCGCCUCCCAAGUCGCUGGGAAGACAGGCGUGUGCCACUGUGCCCAGCUCCCUACUACCUCUUAAGGUCCAGCCCAGACCCUCCCCUUCCAUGGAGCUCCCUCAACCGCUCCAACCUGUGCACCUCUGGGGCCCUGGGCAUCACCAGGAGUGAGAGAGCAAGUGGAGGAAGGCUGCCUAUUUCCAAAUGCUCAUCCCCCGCCUGAUGGAGUCCUACCCCCAGCACCAGGUGAUUGGAAAGUGGAUGAAAUGGCUGGCACUGAAGCAACCAUGCUGGACUAUCAGGGGAUAUUGGACAUGGAAAUCACUCAUCACAGCAAUAAGCUAGUGAGAGGCUGGGUCUCAGAGGACCAGAGGAAACAGAGCCUAAUAUCAGCCCUGGACUGUAGACUUACAAAAGAAAAUGAAAUAAAAGUUCUAAAUUGCAAAGGGCAAUCUUUGGGGGUUUGCUACUUGUUACCUGCAGCCCAUGCAAGUCAUAACUAGUACCGACCCAUCAUGAGAACCUCAGAGCGCA